GACGUAGGGCGCGAGCGUUGUCCGGAUUUAUUGGGCGUAAAGAGCUCGUAGGCGGCUUGUCGCGUCGACUGUGAAAUCCCGCGGCUCAACUGCGGGUCUGCAGUCGAUACGGGCAGGCUAGAGUUCGGUAGGGGGAGACUGGAAUUCCUGGUGUAGCGGUGAAAUGCGCAGAUAUCGGGAGGAACACCGGUGGCGAAGGCGGCGAUCUGGGUAGAUACUGACGCUGAGGUGCGAAAGCGUGGGGAGCAAACAGG
rnacentral:rRNA from 1 species